rnacentral:rRNA from 1 species
UGAGGAAUAUUGGUCAAUGGACGAGAGUCUGAACCAGCCAAGUAGCGUGCAGGAUGACGGCCCUAUGGGUUGUAAUCUGCUUUUGUUUGGGAAUAAUCGACAUUACGUGUAAUGUUUUGCAUGUACCAUUCGAAUAAGGACCGGCUAAUUCCGUGCCAGCAGCCGCGGUAAUACGGAAGGUCCAGGCGUUAUCCGGAUUUAUUGGGUUUAAAGGGAGUGUAGGCGGUUGGUUAAGCGUGUUGUGAAAUGUAGAUGCUCAACAUCUGACUUGCAGCGCGAACUGGCUGACUUGAGUACACACAACGUAGGCGGAAUUCAUGGUGUAGCGAUGAAAUGCUUAGAUAUCAUGAAGAACUCCGAUUGCGAGGGCAGCUUACGGGAGUGUUACUGACGCUUAAGCUCGAAGGUGCGGGUAGCGAACAGG